rnacentral:lncRNA from 1 species
GCUUAUUAAGGAGCCUUUAUUAGACAGCGUAUUCUCACCUAACAGGCCAGAUCAUGGUAAGGUUAAGAGAAAUAUAUACGGCUUUUUCAAAAGAGGAAUGUGACACUUUCAUAACUAUAUAUUCUUUUAUGUGGGUACAGCCCUGCUUACCCUGCUUUUUUUCCCUCCAGCAGCUAAUGAACUGCUCCCAUCUCAUUAUUCAAAAAUAAAAAGGCACUUAGUAUACUAUGAACUGAUUUCCCUUGCCUUUUUUUUUUUAAAGAAGUAACAAGAUUCGGCGCUGAUCAACCCUACCAUUAAGUUGACAAAGUGAUGAAUAUGCUUCUGGAUUGGUGAAAAGUUAGCCAUUUGGUAGUCUGAGAUGCUACU